UGGCCAUGUAGCCAGUUCCCAGGGCUUAUCUUGACACCUGGGUGGUAUGGAGUUUUCCAUUUGCACCUAUCGUAUCCUCUCUGAGUAAGGCUGACUGUGGGCAAAGGCUAGGGUGUGUAAUCCUCCACGACUCCUGAUUCACAUCUAGUUGUGGUAGCUUUCGGGCCCUUGUGAAUUGGAAGAGAAUUUAAAAGUUAGUGAACAGAUCUUGUGGAGCCCUCAUGUGCCAGGAUAUGAGACGGGGGUCCAAUAAGGCCUGAUCCGAGGACGUUGUGAUGAUGAAGGAAACUCCCCUGAGGAGAAGAUCAUUCAUCUGGCGUUGGGAGAGUGUAUUGGCAAGAGCCCCGUAGAAGCAACUUGCCCAUGUGGUGACUCAAGGAGAAGAGCGUCAUGUGUUCAAGGAUCUCAGAAAAGCUUACCACAGCGGAAAAGAAGACAGUCAUGAUAGAGGAGCAACAGACACAUUGUUUAUGUAUGAAAGGAACAGCUAAGACACAAAGAAAGAGAAGAACUCCUAUGUUACAAGAAAGAAAAAGGAUCAUUUUCAUGAUACAGAACCUUUCAGGAUAUAUCAAGAAUUCCAGCGGAGUACACAGCUGACCAAUUUUUCUCAGGACUACUAAUAAAUCAAGAAACUGCCAAGACCACAGUGGCUGGAAGAAGACACAGGUCCACUGGUCAUUCACCGAAGACUGUAGUUCCUGUGAAGCGGUGGUGCUCUAUCGGUGAAAUCCAUGGGCUUCGAUCUUACAGAUCCUGAAUUCAAUCCCUCAUUAUAUUCCUUUCCAGCUUUGUGAACUUGGGUGUGGUAUUAACCUUUCAAAAUUUCUGUUUUAUCUGUAAAUGGAAAGAAUUAGAGUACCUGCCUGUUUUGUCUCCCAGAUGGAGGGCUCUUGGCUUACUCUGAGACACAGGGUACUUUGAUUCAUUGUGAUAGCUUUGUGGUGGAAAUUGCUGGUAGAGGAAGAAAUCAAUAAAAAGUUUUCUUAAUUCCUUUUUUCCCUGUCAAACAUGUUGCCAGGAAUGUUUAGCGUUGCCCGGACUCCCGCUGCCCAUUCCCCAAAGGUGGGAUUUUUCCAGCUCUCCAAAGGCCUUAUAGCCUUAAACUGGUGCCGGCCACUUGGUUAACAGGCGCCAUCAGGAGAAGGCGAUCUAUAAUUAAAACCAGCCCUCUGCAAGCAUGGCUCCCUGACCUCCUAAGGGAACAGUGGUCAUAAACUGCCGAGAGACUACGGGC